CCUACGGGAGGCAGCAGUGAGGAAUAUUGGUCAAUGGGUGCGAGCCUGAACCAGCCAAGUAGCGUGAAGGAUGACUGCCCUACGGGUUGAAAACUUCAUUUAUAAAGGAAUAAAGUGAGGCACGUGUGCAUUUUUGCAUGGACUAUUUGAAUAAGGAACGGCCAGCUCCGUGCCAGCAGCCGCGGUAAUACGGAGGAACCGAGCGUUAUCCGGAUUUAUUGGGUGUAAAGGGAGCGUAGAUGGUUUGUUAAGUCAGUAGUGAAAGUUUGCGGCUCAACCGUAGAAUUGCAAUGGAUACUGGCAAUCUUGAGUACAGGUGAGGUAGGCGGAAUUCGUAGUGUAGCGGUGAAAUGCUUAGAUAUCACGAAGAACUCCAAUUGCGAAGGCAGCUUACUAAACUGCCACUGACAUUGAUGCUCGAAAGUGUGGGUAUCAAACAGGAUUAGAUACCCGAGUAGUC
rnacentral:rRNA from 1 species